AAAGUGCUAGUAACAAGAAUUACACUGCCUUGUCAAGACAGAAUUGUGGGUUAAACCCCCACGCACUUUA
rnacentral:tRNA from 1 species